UUUUUUUUUUCUAUUUCAGAUGUUAAUACAUGUACUGCUGAUUUCUGUGGCUUCAUCUUCUUUAUUGUGUAUUUUUAUCGUCUUAUAUCUUAUUUAUCUUUCAGAGGUUUUUCCUGCCUCACUGACCAACACAUAGUUUGUCACAUUUACUGCUUUUUUCCCCCUCAUCUGUAACUGUGUGUGUGUGUGUGUGUGUGUGUGUGUGUGUGUGUGUGUGUGUGUGUGUGUGUGUGUGUGUGUGUGUGUGUGUGUGCGUGUUUGCGCGUCUGUGUAUGUAACUGAAUGUGUAUUUGUGCACAUGGGCCCCAUCCUGAUUCAGACCUUGUCUGUGGCCCCCCCUCUCAUUUUAAUUAAACAGCAGAUGCACUGCCCCUGUCCCGUCUGCUGUCACUUUUUGUGUGUGUGUGCGUGUGUGUUUGUCUUGUUUUCACCCCGUGCUUUGCCAUGUGCCAGUUUUAAACCAUAUUUCACACAGGACCGUUUAUGUUGUCUGACGUGAACUAGCAAGCUGAGAGAAGGUGAGGGCAUUGGCACAGAUUUGAUGAAAAAUAUCAAUACAGACAAUGAUGUUAUUGGUGGUAUGGUUAAAUCAUGUUUACAGCGGAUAGAAGACAGACUAAAUCACACACUAUUUCGUCCUGGACAGUGACAUUAAACAGCAUGGUUUUUUUUUAUAGGAAAUCUGAAAAUAUACCCACCUGAUAUCAACCUGGAAUAAAUAGGAAGGUGUUUAGUAUCAUCAUAGUUGACUUUUACAGGUAAUCUUUUAGAGCUAAACACUCAAAUUAAUUCCUGCAGGCUAAAACAAAUGUGGGUUUGCUUGCAUCUUUGUGUGUUUGUAAAGGCGGGUUUGUGUGUGUAUGUGCGUGAGCUUGUGUUUUUCUGUGUGUGUGUGCUUUAAAAAAAGAGAGGGAGAGAGACCAGCCAGUUUAUAAAUAUAGACAGUGUGAGCGCUUCAGUAAUUCUUAGCAGUUGCCUCGUAUUGCAUCAGUUGACAGUCAACAGAUGGAGUCAGCUAAAACCAACUAAUAACUUUGUUGAUAACUGUGUUACAGACAUUCACACAAAAAAUAUUCCAACAGGGAUUUCUAUAAAAGUUCAAGGCAAUUAAAAUCCAACCAUCCACAUCAUAUGUCAUGUAUUACCCCUGAAAUGUGCAACUCUCUCUCUCUCUCUUUCUCUCUCUUUCUCUCUCGCCAUCUGAGCCACUUUCUUAUGUACUCAUCCACAAAAGGAACAUUUUGAUCAAAACCCCCAAACACACAAGGAGAUCGGCAAGAACAGGGUACAGGGUAUUUACACUUAGUGUAUUCCUUCACAAUAUUCUGGAGUACAAUAAAUAAAUCCGUGGACUAAAACCUUCAAACUUAAAUGAGACUGUUUAUAGAUCUCUGGUUAUACAAUGGAACAUUUAUUUGAGUCUAGGGCUCAAAAAAACUGAAUUGGUGAUCAUCAUGGACUGAAAAGAUGGACAACACACCUCUUACUCUUGUUGCAGGAACAGUUGUUGGAGCACCGGUGCUCUCAUUGCUCCCUAUACCCUGAACCAAACACACAUUAAACAUUCCUAUUUUAAAGCAGACCGAGUCAGUCCGUGCACACCACAGCAGAACAGAUUUUUUAAGUCUGGUUGAAGUGACUUUUCAUGGUUAUCAAAAGUUUAAUGACUUGUUUUUGAGUGUUCCUGUCAGUCAUGGCCUAAUAGCUCCUUAUGACUGAGAAACUAAUCGAUACUAAAGUCUCCUGAAUAAAUAAAAGACAUAAAUCAGCAUAACAACAAAGGAAAAAAAACUGCAUUUAUGAAAAAAUAAUUCAGCAAACAAAUAAGCAGAUUUUCACACCAACAUCAUAUUCUCGCUUCUUACCAUUAUCUCCCGAUGCUAUUUUCUGUGUCCCAUCCUCUUUUUUUUUCAGAGGCUGCUGGUAACACAUGUUUGCAGUUGGGUAUGUAACCAGUUCAUGUGACCUGACCCGAUUGGGCAAAAUAAAUUCCAACAUGUUUGAUUGUGACUGAGGUUGGGUUGUGUCUGUUCCCCUCACGCACUUACAGAUUUUUGUACCAAUCUUGGUAAGUCUGUGGGUGAGUUAGGAUUGAAUGGGUAGCAGGAUAAGAAAAAACUGUAUUGACAGAAACCAUUUGAGUAAAAACAUCUUUGACUUGUAAAAUCAUUUUAGUUUACAGGAGGCGAGCUUUGAGAGAUGAGAGGUUUAUCAAUCAGGCUGUAGGGUUUCUGUACAUAUAGCAGACUAAACAGCACUGUCCUGAGAUAAUUUCAGAGAUUUUUGAUUUAAAAUUUUGAUCAGAUCCUUGUACUUUGUAAGAUUUGAUAAGGCACAAGGACAAACUAGCGCACAGUGCUGCCAACCAAUGGGAAACAUUCAGGCUCUUAAGCUCACAUUACUCAACAUAUUGCCACUAAAAAUUAUUACAGCUUUUUGUUAAAGCCUGAAUUGUUUGCAUAACAAUAUAUUACCUUGUGUCUUCCAGAUCAAACCUUCCUCACUUGUGAGGCCGUCUGUUUUUUUUUUUCUUUUUUUCUUUUAUAGUGAAUGUAAUAUUCUUUUAGCCUCACUUUUAUCCUCUCCUGAGAUUGUGAUGGUUCGAUUUUGCAGCAUAAACUGUAUGAGACAUGGAUAAGGUCUCAUUGAAGUUGCCCACUGGAUAUUAAAGAAAUAAAGAUGGCUUAAUAUGGUGACUUCAACUAAUUCACGGCUAAAGCUACCAGCAAGCAAAGAGGUGAAGAUGCCACCCUGGCCUUAUAGGUGGAGUUGCAGCCUAGGCAAAUGGCUACAAAUGCCCACCUGUCAGCAAAAUUAACUUCGCUAUCUUUGCAUAGGUCUUGUCACUUGGAUUUAACAUAAUCUAUCUAGAUCACAUCAGCUGUGAAGAAUGAGAAAAGGAGUAAAAGAUUAGUUUGUGUUUUGGCUGUAAGUGUGUCUCAUUUUGCAGUAAAAAUUGACAUUUUUAUUUGGGCUAAUCGGAUCUCCUUGGCUUUUGAAGACAGCCUCAAGUGGACCCCUUUUUGGGCCUUAACUUUGGCUUCAAUAUUCAACAGUGAGUAUAUAUUAGCCUUGUUCGCACAUUGGUGCAUGAUAACUUUGAGUAAUGUUGGGAGUGAUACCCUGAAACUUUCAUAUCCUGAAGUUAGUAUAUGUUUGAAUUCAGUGAUUGAAUACCGUUAGAGUUUUUCCUCUCGUACGUGUUGCCACCUGUUUUCAAAAUAUGGUAUGAUUCUCAGACUCCUGUAGUCUGAUCACUAUCUGUGCAAAACAAGCUAGUUUUCUCUGGUUGCUGCUGCGCUUCAUCACCUUCUGAAGUGAAUGUGACACAUUCCUGUGCUUCAAGUGUUCUUGAUAAACAGAGGACAGUUUCCCAGUGACCAUGAUGAAAACACGAACAAGCUGCCACUCACGUGCUUUAAUGGAGCUAUUUGGCCAACAAAAUAAGUUUAUUAGUAAAGCUCAGGGUGUAACAGCUCCCCGGAGCACAUUAAUUCAAGGCUUUCUCCAUGUGCCUGCUUUUAUUCAUCAAGUCUUUAAAUGUGUCACUUAUCCCUCCUCAUAAACAUAAUGGUGAACAUUUUCUUUUGCUGUGAUGUGUCAAAAACAGAGGAUGAAUGGGGUAAGUGACUGCAGCCGGGUUGUUUAUGUGCAUUAGCAGAGGAAGAGACUGAAGCCCUUUGCUGGUUGAUGUAACAUAAUGGUAAUUGAAUUGUUGUUUUGGUACACAAAGCCCUCUUCCAAAUGUGCUGUAUUAUGCCUACAGCCUCUCUCAAUCUCCCCGCACAUACACACAUAUCUGCACAGACACACACGUACACACACACACAGACGCAGACUUUUAGGCACAGGGCCCGUGUUGCUACCCAGAGAUCUGGCAAGUUACUCCGCUCAAGAUCUACGUGUGCAUGUGUGUGUGUGUUGCCAGGGCAUUACAACAUCUCAUCAUUCUCUCAGCCAACCAAACACAGCAAUGGAUGCCGCUCGGUCUGGUUGUUUAUUAUUGCUUGAGAAAAAAAAGGUAAAAAUCAAAUCUUUAUUCUUGUAAACAAAUAUAAAACCAUUCAAUCAUCUUGGAAGAUGGCGAGAAUCUUCUUUUCAGUUCUUUUAUGUGCUCCUCCAUAAAGAAAAUCAAUACUUAACAAAAAUAUUACUUAUUCAAUGAAAGCUGUGAUCUUCCUCUCUCCCUUUUUCUCUUACACAGACGUGCUCAGUCUUCAGCCCCUCUGCUCUCUCUCCUAUGGAUCUUUUGAUGUCUCCCGUGCGUAAGAUCAAUAGACGGACUUUCUUCCCUGUUGGAUUGUACACUGAUCUGUUGUCGAAACAGGGCCACUGGCAGGUCUGCUGGGAAAAUGCACGCGCACACACACACUGACAUGAACACUCCAACACCAGAUGCUGACUGGAAAAUAAACCGGGAUAUAUUGACAAGAUAGGAUUGUGCUGAGUGAACCUUGACCUCCUGGAAACCAAUAUGACUGGCAGAUUGACCUGAGGGGAGGUGAUCUGAUUGGCAGGUUCUGUUUGAAUCUUGAUUUAUUGACUUUCUUUCUUUGGGAUCCUCCUGUGUGUAUUGUUAUCAGAAAUAUAUAUGUCAAGUGUAUGUGAGUGUCUUUUUGCUCAGAAAAAUAAGCUCGUGAACCACUGCUUCUUUCAGUUGAAAUGCACCUUUAAUCAUAUGAUUUGCUGAAAUGAAGAUUAUAAAAAUCUUAUUUGAAAGCACUGUAUGAUGAACCUUGCUUAUACACAUUUUUCAAAUGUCAUAGACUUACAGGGAGAAAUAUUAUAUCAAAUAUCAAAAAACAAAAAAAAACUUUUAUCACUUUGGUUGGCCUCUCCCACCCACCGGUCAUGCAUGCCCCUGUCAAGCAAACUUUCGGACUAUCGGACUCAGGGCAGAAACAGACUGAAAAAUACAUGCCAAAAAUGUGAUUAAGCAGUAACUGAUGCAUGCUGCACAGCUGUUCUCCCACUGCAACAAGGAGAAAGUUGGUGAAGGAGAGAAACAGACACAACUCACCUAGAAGCCAGAUGAUGCAAGUUUGUUCACAGUCACUGUGAUUGGCUUGUUCCAUGCAAGCUGAUCCUGAUUGGUUGUUUGAUUUAGACACAACCAGCAGUUUUUUUUUUUUUUUUGUUUUUUUUUGUGUUUUUUAUAUCAGUAUAGGGGUGUGGUGCCAAGAGAUACAGAGCAGGC